GGUCGGUUAGCUCAGUUGGUCAGAGUGUGGCACUUGAAAUGCCAAGGUCGUGAGUUCGACCCUCACAUCGACCC
rfam:Verticillium albo-atrum VaMs.102 supercont1.2 genomic scaffold, whole genome shotgun sequence.